GAUAAAUAUAAGGAAGAUAAAUAUAAGGAAGAUAAAGAUAAGGAUAAAGAAGACAAAAAGAUAAGGAUAAAGAUUAAGAUAAGGAUAAAGAUAAGGAAGAUAAAGAUAAGGAAGAUAAAGAUAAGGAUAAAGAUAAGGAUAAAGAUAAGGAUAAAGAUAAGGAUAAAGAUAAGGAUAAAGAUUAAAAGAUAAAGAUAAAGAUAAGGAAGAUAAGAUAAGAUAAGGGUAAAGAUAAAGAUAAGGAUAAAGAUAAGAUAAAGAUAAAGAUAAGGAAGAUAAAUAUAAGGAAGAUAAAGAUAAGGAAGAUAAAGAUAAGGAUAAACAAGAUAAAUAUAAAGAAGAUAAGGAUAAAGAUUAAGAUAAGGAUAAAGAUAAGGAAGAUAAAGAUAAGGAUAAAGAUAAGGAUAAAGAUAAGGAUAAAGAUAAGGAUAAAGAUAAGGAUAAAGAUUAAAAGAUAAGGAUAAAGAUAAGAUAAAGAUAAAGAUAAGGAAGAUAAAUAUAAGGAAGAUAAAGAUAAGGAUAAACAAGAUAAAUAUAAAGAAGAUAAGGAUAAAGAUUAAGAUAAGGAUAAAGAUAAGGAAGAUAAAGAUAAGGGAGAUAAGGAAGAUAAGAAGAUAAAUAUAAGAAGAUAAAGAUAAGGAUAAAGAUAAAGAUAAGAAGAUAAAGAUAAGGAUAAAGAUAAGAAGAUAAGGAUAAAGAUAAGGAAGAUAAACAUAAAGAUAAGGAUAAGGAACAUAAAGAUUAAGAUAAGGAUAAAGAUAAGGAAGAUAAAGAUAAGGAUAAAGAUUAAGAUAAAGAUAAAGAAGAUAAAGAUAAGAGGAUAAAGAUAAAAAUAAGGAUAAAGAAGAUAAUGAUAAGAAUAAAGAUAAAGAAGAUAAAGAUAAGGAAGAUAAAGAUAAAGAUAAGGAUAAAGAAGAUAAAGAUAAGGAUAAAGAUAAGGAUAAAGAUAAGGAUAAAGAUAAAGAAUAUAAAGAUAAAGAUAAGGAUAAAGAUAAGGAAGAUAAAGAUACAGAAUAACACUGGAUAGAUGCAUUAAUGAAUAUAUAGAACGAAUACGCCAACUUAUUAUCACUUCCAGCUAGACGUUUGUGGUGUGAACAUGUCCUUUCCGUGCAAUAUAUGUGCCAAAGUAUUUUCAACACACGGCAACCUCAAGCGUCAUACUUUGAAUGCCCAUGGAGACGUUCAAAGCAAACCAGUUGAAAUCUCAGCAGGAUCUACAGUUUUGCAGCAUCCUUUCACAUGUAUCGUAGCUGGGUGUACCCAAAGCGGCAAGACUGUNNNNNNNNNNNNNNNNNNNNGGAUAAAGAUAAGGAUAAAGAUAAGGAUAAAGAUUAAAAGAUAAAGAUAAAGAUAAGGAAGAUAAGAUAAGAUAAGGGAUAAAGAUUAAAAGAUAAGGAUAAAGAUAAGAUAAAGAUAAAGAUAAGGAAGAUAAAUAUAAGGAAGAUAAAGAUAAGGAUAAACAAGAUAAAUAUAAAGAAGAUAAGGAUAAAGAUUAAGAUAAGGAUAAAGAUAAGGAAGAUAAAGAUAAGGAUAAAGAUAAGGAUAAAGAUAAGGAUAAAGAUAAGGAUAAAGAUAAGGAUAAAGAUAAGAUAAAGAUAAAGAUAAAGAUAAGACAAAGAUAAAGAUAAGGAAGAUAAAUAUGAGGAAGAUAAAGAUAAGGAUAAAGAAGAUAAAUAUAAAGAAGAUAAGGAU
rnacentral:lncRNA from 1 species